rnacentral:rRNA from 1 species
GACGGAGGGGGCUAGCGUUGUUCGGAAUGACUGGGCGUAAAGAGCGUGUAGGCGGCCAGAAAAGUCCGCUGUGAAAACUCGAGGCUCAACUUCGAGCUGUCGGUGGAAACUUUCUGGCUAGAGUCCGGAAGAGGAGAAUGGAAUUCCUGGUGUAGCGGUGAAAUGCGCAGAUAUCAGGAAGAACACCCGUGGCGAAGGCGGUUCUCUGGGACGGUACUGACGCUGAGACGCGAAAGCGUGGGGAGCGAACAGG